UACGUAGGGGGCAAGCGUUGUCCGGAAUCAUUGGGCGUAAAGCGCGUGUAGGCGGUUCGAUAAGUCUGCUGUGAAAGUCCAGGGCUCAACCCUGGGAUGCCGGUGGAUACUGUCGAGCUAGAGUACGGAAGAGGCGAGUGGAAUUCCCGGUGUAGCGGUGAAAUGCGCAGAUAUCGGGAGGAACACCAAUUGCGAAGGCAGCUCGCUGGGACGUCACUGACGCUAAGACGCGAAAGCGUGGGGAGCGAACAGG
rnacentral:rRNA from 1 species